ensembl:lncRNA
CACUUUCCUUUUCUUGUUUUUUCUAUAUUAUUUCGGAGGGGAUGGCAUAUAUAGUAUGUAGCCUGAUCCAAAGCAUACCAUCCAUACCAUAAAUGUCAUGUUUGGUGUGUGAGUGUGUGUAUGUGUGUGUGAGUUUCUGGAGUCCUCCAAACUCACGUCCCUUUCCUCUUAUUGUGUUACUGCAGGCUGCUGACGCAGAACCAGCUGUAUUUAUUUUCUUUGGCGGAUUAAGUUGAAAGAGGCAUAAUCGAGACUGAUCUCAGUACCCAUCAACCCCAUGCCACACAGACGCUGAUACAGGCUUUCCAUCUCCCCAUGCUCCCCCAAACCCUCGCCGGAAUAAUCCCAGUGGUUCAGAGUCUGUCUUUCACUCUGUGUGUGUCUGCAAGUGAAAAAGGCCACAGUGUCUCCCAACGCCUCAGGCUACUUUGAUGGACAGAUGGACAGUUUGUGUGAGACAGACUUCCCUUUCAGCCAAUGAGAAAACAGGACCCCUGCUGUCAGCAUGGUGACAGUUGCCAUGAGUGAUUGCAUCCGGACCUACAGCUGAUGGUUCGAGUGUUCGACCUGUGUCUCUUUAGAGGUGAAGGGUGGAAAGGGCAGUACUGGCUUCGAUCCCCUUCACGUUUCCAUCAGGCCGCAGUUUGCCGUUGUGUUCUUGGGUCCAUAUGGUUCAAAGAUGCCCAUCAGGUCCAUGACAACUUCAUGCUGAGGGUCUGCUAGAAUUUAACCCAAAACACAGGGUUUAUAUUUAGGCAGAAACAAAAAGAAGGAGGGUCUGCAGAUCUUUGCACCCUCAAAGCUCAUUGGUACAGUUUGUUAGAUUUGUGCACUAGUCAGAAAUCAUCAGGCUAAAUGCUGUGCUAAUUCACAUUCAAGUAGACAUUGAAG